rnacentral:rRNA from 1 species
UUAGAGUUUGAUCCUGGCUCAGAACGAACGCUGGCGGUGUGCUUAACACAUGUAAGUCGUACGAGAAAGCUUGCUUCGGUGAGUUAUUAAAGUGGCGCACGGGUGAGUAACACGUGGGUAACCUACCCUCCGAACCGGGAUAACAUCUCGAAAGAGAUGCUAAUACUGGAUACGUCCUUUAGUCCUUCGGGAAAAAAGGGGAAAGAUGGCCUCUGCUUGCAUGCUAUUAUCGGUGGAUGGGCCCGCGGGCCAUUAGUUUGUUGGUAGGGUAACGGCCUACCAAGGCGACGAUGGCUAGCUGGUCUGAGAGGGUGAUCAGCCACACUGGAACUGGAACACGGUCCAGACUCCUACGGGAGGCAGCAGUGGGGAAUAUUGCGCAAUGGGGGAAACCCUGACGCAGCGACGCCGCGUGAGUGAUGAAGGCCUUCGGGUCGUAAAGCUCUGUCAGAGGGGAAGAAGGAAUUAAUGGUUAAUAUCUAUUGAUUUUUGACGGUACCCUCAGAGGAAGCACCGGCUAACUCCGUGCCAGCAGCCGCGGUAAUACGGAGGGUGCAAGCGUUGUUCGGAAUUACUGGGCGUAAAGGGCGCGUAGGCGGCCGUUUAAGUCAGAUGUGAAAGCCCUCGGCUUAACCGAGGAACUGCAUUUGAAACUGGAUGGCUUGA